UCUACACCCAUACUGGUAUCCGUACCCAUACUCGUUUCCAUGCAACUUAGAUGGUCCAAUGUUUUCAAUAUAUUAAUUUUCAGUCUUUUCAUCCACGAGGAUGAAAUAUUGCUAUUAUUUUUUAUUGCAAAUUUAUGAGAUUUAACCUGGCAUGUAACAUGUUGUUCGUUUAUCAAUUCUGUGUAGGUGACAAAGAAGCCAAUUUUAAUUUAUCCUAACAGUGGGGAAACAUAUGAUGGUGCUAAGAAGGAAUGGGUGGCAUCUACUGGAGUCUCAGAUGAAGAUUUUAUUUCAUAUGUGUGCAAAUGGCGUGAUGCAGGGGCCUCCCUUAUUGGAGGAUGUUGCAGGACAACUCCAAAUACCAUCAGAGCCAUAUCCAGGGUUCUAAAUUAGGAUUUUGAUAGCUAAAUAUCCCAUAAAAGACUAGUUUUUUUGCAAUGUUGGAAUGCUAGUUUAUACAUGUAUCUGUGAGCACCGGUAGAUGAACUAUGUAUCAGAAAUUACUUACAAGAGAAUAAUUUUUAAGCGCAGUUUACAGUGUUGUAGAGAAGAGUGGUUUGCAAUAAAAGAAAGUUAUUACCAUACAGAGUUGGUUCUAAUUGACUUUGGGCUUAGUUUAACGUCAACUCUUUCGGAGAGUAAAGUUGUAGACUUUUAUGUGUUAGAGAGAGCCUUGCUGUCUAUGCAUUCAUCACGUCGGAAUGUGGGACCCUGAUCUGAAGUUUCAACUUAAUGGACAAUCUUGAGUGUCAAGAUAACCUGCACAUACUUCAGAAUACUCCCUGCGUACAGGAAAUCUUCAAAAUAGUGGUGCUCCACGCUGAACAAGGUCUCAAGCUUUUCACUGAGUUUCUCUCUGUUUAUAUCCGUCUCUGUCCAAAUAUUGAAAUCACUCUCGACUUUCACGGUGAUCUAUCAGAAUAUUAUUUGUCAGUUAGAAAGGUAGAAGAAGGAGAAGAAGAGAA